rnacentral:lncRNA from 1 species
UUUUCUUCUUUCCUGCCUGAGAGUCGGGCUUCUCCGGCAGCCACCACCACUGCCUGAGGGUCGCACGUCCCCAGUGACCACCGCUUGAGGUGGCGUGAAUCGCGACCCAAGUGGCGUCACGCGACCUCGAGCGAUGCUGCCUGGCAUGCGCGAACAAGGCGACACCGACAACCACCUGAUUUGGACCUGCAAGGUUGCUGCAGAGAUGCCCCGACGGUGGAAAAUCUCCAAUGGCAAUUCGUCGUUGAAGCAAUAGCAGCAGAAUUUUGAAGACUUCUUCGUGAAUUUCCUCAAGCGAGAAAGGAGAUAAAAGUGGGAUGAAGAAUGGGCAUGAAUCUCCACAGUAGAAAAGAGGCAAUUUGACUUUGAAGACGUCUUUUGCGAUGGGAUGUUCGGACUCUCCAAGUGCGGGUGCCGUGUAUUCAAUAGAG